rnacentral:rRNA from 1 species
AUGGAAUUGAAAUCUGAUGCACCGCGGAAAAGCGAGUUACUUGCCCUGAGCAAAUAUAACGUUAAUGGUAAGGAUAAAGCAAUUACAGUAAGAAAUGAUUAUCCGGCGCCCCCUGUCCCUUGUUUUGAAAUCACUGAGGAUUUUGAUUUGGAAAAGGUUGAGGAGCUUAUGCUAGAAAGGGACAUUAAGAUCGCCAAGUCCAUGGCAAACGACAUAAUCAUCCCAGACCCUGCUCCAAAGUUUGUGGGUGAUGCCUUCUUGGACAUAUAUGCCGAAUUGGAGCACAUCCUUGUAAAGGAUAGUGUCCGGUGCUUCCUCCGAUUUUUCGAGAACUGUGAAGGCCGGGGCAUAUCAUCUUAUCUUACCAUCACCGCACAAACCUUAACCUUCAUUGUCAGUUUCAACGCCCUGUGA